UAAUCCCACUAUUCAAUGGCAGAGGCGGGCGCUGGAAUGACAUUCAACCAAACCCUUCCCUGCAUUCAACCCCUUUCAGCUGAUCGGGGAAAGACGGGCAGAUAGCUUAAAAUUGGACCCCUCUUCCUGGACGGAUGGCUUUCUAGCUAGCUAGAAACAGGUUAAAUCUUCAUAUUAGAAAAAUGGCGGCGGAUAGCGUCAACCCGUUUAAUCUGAGCGAUUCUGAAGAUGAGGCAGAGCAGAGAGCAGAGGACGGGGUUGAUGCCGAAAGGAGCCUUAGCGAUGGAGCGCCAGGGCUCCCGUCCAACAACCCCUUCUCCCCGCAGGCGGACGCCGAGCCCCCGGCCCUUCUGCUGUCCAGCACCCGGACCAGCCCAAGUGUGGAAGGCAUCUCGGUAGCAGCCGCAGCAAUGCCAAGCGGCUUGGCAGAGACUCGGGUAUCUGUAGAUGUGAUUGCUGCUCAACUAAUACGGGAUCAAUACAUCCUCACCGCUCUUGAAUUUCAUACCGAAUUGUUGGAGUCAGGGAGGGAGCUUCCCCGGUUGCGGGACUAUUUCUCCAACCCGGGCAAUUUCGAGAGGCAAAGCGGCACUCCACCAGCUUGUAAAGACCAAGGACUGGGGCCAGGUGGACCGCUAAACCGAGCGGGCAGCAUCAGCACGUUGGACUCUCUGGACUUCGCCCGUUACUCUGACGACGGGAACCGGGAGUCGGAUGAGAGGGUGGCAGUGCUGGAGUUUGAGCUACGGAAAGCCAAGGAGACCAUUCAGGCUCUACGCGCCAACUUGACUCAGGCAGCAGAGAGCGACACUAGGGAGAGAAACAAGAACUACAAAUCAAAUCCUGAGAUUCAGGAACCUAUCCGCCCACUGGAGAAGCGAGCCUUAAAUUUUCUUGUGAAUGAAUAUUUAUUAAAGAAUGAGUACAAACUGUCGGCCAUCACAUUCUCUGAUGAAAAUGAUGACCAGGACUUUGAGUUGUGGGACGACGUGGGCCUGAACAUUCCGAAGCCUCCCGAUCUAUUACAGAUCUACAGGAACUGUGGCUCCGCCCUUCCGUCGCCGCGGGAUACAGUGGAUGUAUCCGUGGGGGUGGAGGCAGGCGAGCUCACUGGGAACUACAUUGUCCAGAAACCUGAUCUCUUGCAGCAGCAGCACACUGAGAUGGUUGAGGAGUUCGAGUAUCAGAUCAGUCUACUGAACGAGGAAAAACAGAGUCUGGCUGACCAGAUCAAGAAACUACAGAGUGAGAUCCAAAGCCUGAGAAGGACUGUGUCCCCCCCUCCUCCUGACCAGGGCUCACAUCUCAACUCCCUCUCCUCCUCAUCCACACCUCCCCCUCCCUGGUCCCCCCUGGACAACGGUCAGUACUUGGACGUCAGGAGAGCCUCAGAACCUGACAAACCCCACACUGAGAGCAACCCCCCCACUCAGAACGUCAGUUCCCCUACACACACCUCUACACAACCCCAUGCCAAGCUGAAGUGCAGAGGGACGGUGGUGUUUGACCAGCCCAACAGGGAGUUGUCACCAGCGUUCCAGCAGGCCCUGUUGUCCUUUUGUAAGAUGUCAGCUGACAGUCGUCUGGGGGAAGAGGUGUCGAGGAUGGCAGACAAUGAGGAGAGUGUGAUGCUGAUGUUGGGUCGCUGUCUCCCUCACAUCGUCCCCAAUGUCCUCCUGGCCAAACGAGAGAGAAUGGUUGCACACCUGUGCCAGGAGUUGAUUCCUCUCAUCCUGUGUACAGCAUGUCUCCACCCGAAGCCUAAAGAGAGAGACCAGCUCCUUCACAUCCUCUUCAACCUCAUCAAGAGACCUGACGACGAACAGAGGCGGAUGAUCCUAACAGGUUGUGUGGCGUUUGCCAGACAUGUUGGUCCUACCAGAGUUGAGGCUGAACUCCUACCACAAUGCUGGGAACAGAUCAACCAUAAGUAUUCAGAGAGGAGGUUGUUGGUAGCAGAGGCCUGUGGAGCCUUAGCAUCUUACCUGCCUAAGGAGAUCCGUAGUUCCCUGGUGUUGUCCAUGCUGCAGCAGAUGCUGGCUGAAGACAAGGCAGACAUGGUCAGAGAGGCCGUGGUCAAAAGCCUCGCUAUCAUCAUGGGAUACAUCGACGACCCUGACAAGUACUCCCAGGGUUUUGAGUUGAUGUUGUUGUCCCUCGGUGACCCAUCGGAGAGGGUGGUCAGUGCUAUCCACCAGGUGUUCAUCCCAGCAUUCGCUGCCUGGACCACAGAGCUGGGAAUCCUCCAGACCACUCUCAUCCCCUCUCUGCUGGCCCGCAUAGAGAAACUUCUCAAGCAGGGUGAACAUGGUCUUGAUGAACACAAGCUCCACAUGUUCCUGUCGGCCCUCCAGUCUCUCAUCCCUCCUCUGUUUUCUGUGGUGCUCCAGAACGCUCCCUUCACACACAGGCUCACACUGCAGGGAGACAUCCCCCCCAUAGAGGUGACGCGGUUCCCUCGGCCAGCGUCUCCUCUUCAGGAUGUAGCGACUGUCGUGGGCAGCCGGGAGAUGCUGAGCGGCCUCCUCAUCCUCUACGAUUACCAGCUAGAACAUGAGGGCACUACGGGCUGGGACAGUCUGCUGUGGGUGGUCAAUCAACUUCUUCCCCAGCUGAUAGAGAUAGUAGGUGGUAUUACUGUAACCUCCACUACGUGUGUCCAUGAGUUCUCGCGCUUCUUCUGGAGACUCUGCCGUACGUUUGGCAAGAUCUUCACGAACACCAAGGUAAAACCACAGUUCCAGGAGAUCCUACGGCUCUCUGAAGAGAAUGUUGAUGCUUUAACCGGGAAUGCUAUUCUCACCAAGGCUACAGUUCCAGUCUAUGCUACAGGUGUACUGACAUGCUACAAUCAGGAUGAGGAUCGUAAGCUGCUGGUUGGUUUUCUAGAGGACGUCAUGACAACCCUGUCUCUCUCCCACGCCCCUCUGGACAGCCUCAAAGCCUCCUUCAUAGAGCUGGGAGCUAACCCAGUGUACCAUGAAUUGUUACUGACAGUACUGUGGUAUGGUGUGGUCCACACCUCGGCUCUGGUCCGCUGUACCGCUGCAUGCAUGUUUGAGCUGCUGGUGAAGGGGGUGAAUGAGACGCUGGUGGCUCAGAGGGUGGUGCCCGCUCUCAUCACUCUCUCCAGCGACCCUGAAAUGUCAGUUAGGAUCUCUACUAUCCCUGCCUUUGGUACCAUCAUGGAGAUGGUCACACACAAAGAGCUAUUGGAGCGUGUGAAGAUGCAGCUGGCGUCCUUCCUGGAGGACCCACAGUACCAGGACCAACACUCUCUACACAUGGAGAUCAUCAGGACCUUUGGCCGGGUCGGACCCAACACUGAGCCACGCUUCAGAGACGAGUUUGUGCUCCCCCACCUCCACAAGCUGGCGUUGGAUAACAACGCCCAGACUACAGAGAGGAAGAGGAUAGACAUCGCUACUCAGCUGUUUGAGGCCUACAGCGCUCUCUCAUGCUGCUGUGUCCUUCACCUUCUUCAUCUCAGAGGAGGUUAUGGUGAAUCACUUCCUGCCUGGACUGAGGUGUCUGAGGGCGGACAUGGAACAGCUAUCUCCUGAACACGAGGUGAUCCUGAGCUCCAUGAUCAAGGAGGGGGAAACCAAGGUAGAGAACAGAGGGAUCGGACAGGCUGAGGGAUCUGUGUCCAUCGCUGCCAGUCUGGUUGGGGAAGACGCCAAGACCAAGUUCCUGAGUAAGAUGGGUCAGCUGACCACGUCCGGCGCCAUGCUGGCCAACGUUUUCCAGAGAAAGAAGUGAUCCUUCUUCCACCGCCGAACCUCCUAGCAGCAAGCAUACUACAUAUCCCAUGAGCCUCCAUUGUCUGGGAGCGUCAGCCCAGGCUCCAACGAUGGGCCAGGUCAGGGUCUCUGCUCGAACGCCUUCUGAAUGCAUCCUUCACUCCUCCCUGACUGGACAGGGGACAGCACUGAGCCCUAGGAAGGAAGGGUGCCCUUUUUUACAUAUUUGAUCAGGUCCAGGGUGUAUGUCAAUAGUCUGAAGUGGUUUCCUCUCCUCGUCUCAAGGAGAGAAAUGAAUUAUUAUACUAUUGAGAUGCAGCCACUAAGAUUUGGACAACUGGGUUUGUUCUAGAAUUUUUACAGAUGCAAUGUCACCAAAAGCUUUCUGAACAUUCCAGUCCAGUUAGAAUUUUAGUGGCGUUCUUUGUCAGAAUGUGAUUGUUCCCGAACCUUUGUGUCAACAUGGAGAGGAGUAGCUAACUAACUGACGUCUGCAUGUUCAUGGCUCUGGCGAAUUGCCUACUUGAAGUCAAAAUCGUCUGCCUUUUAUUUAAUCACGUCUCUCGUUGUUUUGAUAUUUUAUGAAUGAUUUAAGACUUACUUCCUCCAAAGAAAUCUGCACUUCACUUUAUUACUUUCUCUUUAUUCUGUUUUGAUUUCAGAGUCUUAUUAUAGAGGAUGUACAUCCACAUCACUACCUUUCAUUGGAUUUGUUGUAUUUCUGUUGGAAAAGAGAAGAACACUGAUUGUCUUACUUAAUCCAUGCAUCCAUCUCUCUCUCUCUUUCUCUCUCUCUCUCUUUCUCUCUCUCUUUCUCUUUCUCUCUCUCUGUCUCUCUCUCUUUCUCUCUCUCUCUUUCUCUCU